AUUGAACGCUGGCGGCAGGCCUAACACAUGCAAGUCGAACGGCAGCACGGUGCUUGCUCGCGCAUGCGGGUGUCGAGGGGCGGAUGAUGCCUAGAUAUCUGGCAUGCAGCGGGGAAUUGGGUGCUAACACGGGCGAACAUACGCUAACCGAGCAUACGGCGAACGUGGGAGAGCAUGGGAUCUUACGACCUUACGUGAGCGUAUGAGCCGAUGUCGGAUUAGCUAGUUAGUGGGGUAAAGGCGCGGCAAGGCGACGAUGCGUAGCUGGUCUGAGAGGAUGAUCAGACACACUGGAACUGAGACACGGUCCAGACUCCUACGGGAGGCAGCAGCGGGGAAUAUUGGACAAUGGGCGAAAGCCUGAUCCAGCCAUACCGCGUGAGUGAAGAAGGUCUUCGGAUUGUAAAGCACUUUAGGUUGGAAGGAAGAGCAGCAGGUUAAUACCUGGCUGUUUUGACGGUACCAAAAGAAUAAGCACCGGCUAACUUCGUG
rnacentral:rRNA from 1 species